AACAGUAGGAAAAAAAAAACUAAUUCUAUCUCUUUCACAUCAAGCCGCCACCGCCCCAUCAUCAAAAAGCUUUUUUUCCCCCGGCCACUCACGAUCUCCUUCCACUAUUUCUAUUGGGGUCGGUCGUCCCUCUCUCAUUUGGCAACGAAAACCACAAAAGCAAAAGAAGACAGAUCGUCGCCCCCCUCCUUGAACCAAGAGAGACCCUUCCAUUUCCCCCUCUCUUGGCCCUUUCUCCUCAGCCACAAAACCAAGCCACAGCUGUCGUUCCCCUAUUUUUUCUCCUUCUUACAGACCAGCAGCCCGUCCAUUUCAGAUCCUUCCUCUCCCGGCCGCUAGCCCCUGCUUUAUGACCUAAAGCUAGUCGGUCGCGCCCCUCCACUGGCUGUCGCUCUCCCUCGCGGCCAAGAAGACAUCACCGCCCACUGACUCAGGCGAUCAACCCCACUGCGGCUCCUUUCUUCCUCAGGCCAAACAUAGCGGUAGCCUCGCUGUCCUCUUCCCAGUCUUCUCUUCGUUCCACCGUGACAACAGCAACAACAACCCAGCAGCGCCCAUAGACCGGCAGCUCCUUGGUCAGGCCACCGGCCAUUUGAAACAAAAGAAGAGGAAACAAAAAAUCUUGCAGAGAGAUCAACAGAUCUGAAAAAGGAAGAGAAAGAGAAGCAAAUCUGAAAACGGGGAAUGAAGAGAAGCCGAUCUGAAAACAAAACUAAAACAGACUAGUUUGUUAUGUUUUUGAGUGUUUUGUAGGUAACAGCGGUGCUCAUCGCCAGCAAAGAAAGAAAGAAGGGAGGAAGCCAUUAUGGAUCUCUGCUGCUGCCCAGAUUUCGCGGCAGUGUGUGGAGGAGACACGCCGCCAUUGUACCACAAUUACAAAAGAUGCCCAGAAUUCUGUAGCACUAUUUCCAAAGCUAUUUUUGUAAUUUUCAAAUGUUAUUGUGUAUAUUUAGAUAUUGUUGUGUUUCGAUUUAUUUGAUUUUUUUGUGUUAUGUUGUAAAUAUGUAAUUAUGGGUGAGUAAGCAUAAUGAAAAAAGAUGUGUGUUUGUUUGUUUUUUAUU